rnacentral:lncRNA from 1 species
GAAUCGUUCUCUCCUUUUUAAUUGUCUCCGAGACUCUCAUAUCUUAAUUUCAUGUUCCGUCCUGAAGGUGGAAGCUAUGCUGGACAAGACGAUAUGCGCAAUGUCCAGAGUAUUCAUCGGAGCCUCGGGAUCUACUUUCACGGAGGACAUACUGCGUCUGAGGAAGGACUGGGGGUCGGCAUCUCGCUGUGACGAGUACCUGUGCCAAGGUGAAGAGACCUGUGCCAAGGUGAAGAGCCGAAUUUCAUAGCAGAUGACGAGUGACAAGAGUUAGGAUGCAAUGCGCGUGACCAACUGCUCGACCAGCCUACUUUGGCAGCACGAAUGUCGGUCAAGACCAUCGCCUCGGUCAGUUGUGUCGACCGAG